AAUGAACGCUGGCGGCGUGCCUUACACAUGCAAGUCGAGCGAGGCCGCCCGCAAGGGCGAGUCGAGCGGCGAACGGGUGAGUAACGCGUGGAUAACCUGCCCUGAGGUGUGGAACAACCGGGGGAAACUCCGGCUAAUACCACAUGAUACCGAGAGGUCAAAGCGGGCUCGCAAGGGCUCGCGCCACAGGAGGGGUCCGCGUUCGAUUAGCUAGUUGGUGGGGUAAUGGCCUACCAAGGCGACGAUCGAUAGCCGGCCUGAGAGGGCGAUCGGCCACACUGGAACUGAGACACGGUCCAGACUCCUACGGGAGGCAGCAGUGGGGAAUUUUGCGCAAUGGGCUAACGCCUGACGCAGCAACGCCGCGUGGAGGAUGAAGGUCCUUGGAUUGUAAACUCCUGUCAGCGGGGGAAAAGCGACCCGGCCUAAUACGUCGGGGAGUUGAUUGUACCCGCAGAGGAAGCCCCGGCUAACUCUGUGCCAGCAGCCGCGGUAAUACAGAGGGGGC
rnacentral:rRNA from 1 species